CUCCCGAGUUGCUGGGAUUACAGGCGCGCGCCACCACAACCGGCUAAUUUUUUUUGUAGAGACGGGAUUUCACAAUGUUGGCCAGGCUGAUCUCGAACUUCUGACCUCAGGUGAUCCGCCCGCCUCGGCCUCCCAAGGUGCUGGGAUUACAAGUGUGAGCCACCGCCCGCGGCCGGUAGAACAUCUGAAGCUUCUAAAGCGAACUCUAAGGUUUCAUUUGCACGAGGGUCUCGAACCACGCCAGGCUUCCAGGCGUCAGUGCCCAGUGCUUGGCAUCUACUGAUAGAAACCAGGAAUGAGGGGCUGGAGGCGGAAACAGCUUGAAGAAAGAGGUAGAGGCCAGGGAGUGAGGACGGUGUCUCCUUUUCCUGGAAGUUGGCAGGAAGUGACGCGCGUGGCCCGGGAGCUGCGGUCGCAGAGGCCGACGGAGCCGGAGUCGCGGACGCCGCGGGG
rnacentral:sRNA from 1 species